GAGAAACUAAAUUCAAUAUACACAAGACCAACAGAACGGAAUCGCCGAAUCGGUGAUGACGGGAGAGCAGUGAAUCCCAGUGAUGUUGAGUUUAAAAAAGAAAAAUAAUUUUGGAAACUUUUUCGGUGAGCUUGAGAGGAUGGAUGCACAAAACAGAUUUGCUAUGAUUUUCCCUGGAUUUAUAGACGACGAAAUUCCCCGCUCACCGACCAACAUCGAUUCCAGACGCAUUUGCAGAGAUUUCAAGUUAAGAGAAAGCGAUCGCAUGCCUGCAGAUGGUAAACCAAAAAUCCACAGUUAUUCUCAUAAAAAUUGGAAGAGAAACAGCCUGAUCAUGGGCGAUCGAUGAGGAAAAUAUACAUGGGGAGAUGAAGCAUCGGUCAUUUGUUUUUAUUUUGAAAGAAAUCUAUGAUUUGGUCGUCGUUCUUAUCCUUCAAAUUGUCAACAUAUCUGUUUUCCUUUUUUUGGAUAGGUUUCCGCAGUUUAUGUCGUAGUUUCGAUCAUCCUCUUCAGUUUUGAGUACUACUCGAACUCCGUAUGAUAUUAUUCUGCCCGGUGUAGACUGAAACUCCUCUGAAAUUACAAGUUUUGGCUCAAGGCUAAACUCGUUGAAGUCUACGUUACUUGGAACGUGGAAGAUGAACAUGUGAUGUGCUGAGAAUGCCUCUUUGUCAUUGCUGCUACGAGUACUCUCCGGUGGGAGAACGAAAUCGGGCUUGAGGUCAAUUCGGUAGGACUGGUUAUCUUCCUGUUUACAGCUAUAAGAAGAUGACGAGAGCUUUAUGUGAUAAGGACUCUGACAAGCAAUUAUGAUACAGGCAUCAAAACCCACAAACUCAGAGGCAUGCCAUAUUGGGGGUAUGCUGAUUUCUCUGGAAUAUUCCCUUGCUUGAUAGUCGAAGUAGAUGGGCACUCUACUUCCAGAUAAGCAAGCAAAACGCUGAGGCACCUAUUAAGAUCAAAUAUAAAAGAAAAGAUAUGGAACUGGAAUCGAUGUAUGAAUUGAGCAAGGGAGAAACACAAGGGAAGAAAGUUCACCUCUUCCUUUCGUCCACAUCUCAGAAAUCGAUCCAUCAGAUUCGCAACUUCAUUCAAUUUGGGGCAGUAGCUAAGAUCAACGUGUUUUAUGGAAUGAUCCAAGGGAAGGUGAAUAAUUUCCAGGGAAGUGCAGCCACGUGCAUAGAGAGAUGUAAGGUUUGGUGGAAGCUGUACCAUUGACUUGAGUUUCUUGCAGUCAUUGAGGCAGAGAGUAUUCAACAGCCUAAGGAAUCUGAUAGUUACAGGCAUCGUCACCAUAUCAUUUCCGCUGAGGUCUAAGUAUGUUAAAUUGGUGCAAUGACUAAACGUAUAUGACAAUUCAAAAACAUCAUUGCAGUUGUCAAGCCAAAGCUCAGCUAAGCGGUAUCCACGCUCAUCUUUUCUGGCAGCUGAAUGUCCUAGUGGACUUUGGAGAAGUAUACAGUUAGAAAGUUUGAGUGUCUCCAGUUGAGGUAGUUUUGGUAGUGUUUGAAGUUUGAGGCAGUUGCAAAGCCUGAGAGAUUUCAUACUAGAAAGAUUUUCCAUAUCUGUGGGUAGGCAUGUGAAAUCAUUUCCGCUGAGGUCCAGUUUUUGUAGGACCUGCAAAAGGCCAAUGUCAUCUGGGAUGCUUUCUAUGUUUAGGUUUAUGAGAUUUAACUCGGUUAACCAGAGGAAAUCUGAAAAGCUAUAACACUGGAAAGAGGCACUGUCUUUACGGUAGAUGAACUGCAUGAUGUCGAGUGAUUUAAAUCCGUAAAACUCAGACAUGAGCUUAGGCGUCUUUUGUACUUGCUUCAGAAAUUUGUUAGGGGUCCAUUGCUCGGAACUAAAGCAGAGGUGGUCUGCCUUUCCUCGGAGAUGUGACAACCAAAAAUUUAAUUUGCCAUGGAUGGCUAGACUCGUAAGAGAGUUCAGUGUAACUACAGCAUCUGGGAAACUCAAUGAAGCUUGCCGAAAAAGCCCUGGGCUACGUUUUUGAAGGGCAGGCAAUUCUCCUAUAAUCAUCUGAAGAUUGAUGAGGCGAUCACAGUGGGAUACAUCAAGUUUCUUCAGUGAAGGUAAGCUACCAAUUGUUUCCGGGAUUUGCUCCAACCUCGUGCAACCUUUAGCAAUCAGCUCCUCAAGCUUUGUUGCCCUUGAAAGAUCUGGAAGUUUGGUCAGAUUCUUAGAUCCAGUGACAUCUAGCAUCCUUAACUCCAAGAGCGACUGAAUAUCAUACAACAGAAAGGACAGUUUGGAUGGCGUUGGUGACAUUCUAAAUUUGUAAACGCUGAGAGUUGAAAACUGAAAAGCAAACUACAAGUUUCGUUUAUAGCUUACCAUUUUUCCAUCCCACAGGUUCUCCAGAUUGCUGUAACGCAGAUGAAGUUCAACAAGACGACUCAGAGGAAAUGUGGGAAGCAAGGUUGUUAAUGGAUAUGCGUCCCAAUGCAAUAGCCUAAGGCUGCGUGGAAGUACCAUACGAUUCUUUGAAUUGAUAUUCAGCUUGGACUCUCUAUCAUUUAAGUGUUUGAAGAAUUUGAGAAAUAUGAGAUUUUCCAUCUGCUCAAAAGCACUCCCAUCUAUGGAUGCUGCUCGGGGCAAUUCACACAUAUGUAGUGUCAUGCCUUGGAUUCUCUCUGUCCCCUGAUGAUUGAAUGUCAGAUUUACUUAGCAUACACAAAUAAAAGCACAAGAAGAAACCAUAUAAGACAAGUCCUAUGGAAGAAUAAAAAACAUGUCGUUCCUAGAAUACUUACUGUUUUGCUUUCCAGUACGCCAUAACUGUUAUGAGGAUCCCACAAAAUUCUUUGUUGUCGAGGUCCAGAUUGGUAUAGCUACUUCUUAAAAUAUCCAUGAUAUUCUGGUGAGGAGCUGUUUCAAGCGUGUCUAUUGCAUCUUCCCACUCGUCUAUAGAGGUCGCUCCACGGAGAAAUGAACCGAAAGCUACCAGGGCUAAAGGAAGACCUUGAGCGAGCUGAGAUGCUCGAAUCGCAAAACGUUCAUAUCCAUCAAGUGAAUCUAGCAAUCUUCUGUCACGUGUGGUUAUAAUGAUUCGGCUCCCUGGACCAAACCAGCUAGCCUCCUUUGCCAAGGCAUGUAACUGCUCCACUUUAUCAACACCAUCAAGCACAAAGAGAACCUUGAGGGUUCCAAGCCUUGACCGAAUAAGGUUUGCACCGUUUUGGAUGCUCAUCAAGGCCACUCGUUUUGUACUUAGAAUAUCGCAGAGAAGUUGUUGUUGUAUACAUUUUAGAUCAACUUUCUUACAGAUUUGGCCGACAUCUUCAAUGAAAGAAUGAGCUGGAAAUUGGCUUGCAAGCUGUUCAUAUAGAUACUUAGCAAUGGUAGUUUUUCCGAUGCCCCCCAUUCCCCAUAUUCCAACCAUACAAACCUCGGCAUCAAAGUCUUUCUUCAAGAGAGGUCUUAUGUUUUCCAUGUGAGCUUCCAUACCAACUAAAUCUUCAAAAGAAGUUGCUUGCAUAGAAGCUAACCGGCUUGAGAUGACUUCAACAAUUUCUUCAAGCAUCAUAGCCUCGUCCGCACUGCAAUGACAUGGUAGUAAUAAAUGAAUAUAUAGACUACCUUUUCUUCUCCAGGAGAAAAUAUAAGAAACACUUACCAAUAUCUGGAAACCAUGCCUGAGAGAUUGGCUACCAUGCACAGAGCUACUCUCCACCUUUGCACAAUAUCCGCGAAUUCUGGACCCUGGUACCUUUCUAAACCAAAACUUCCUCGCUGGUGUCUCACGUCAGAGGGAUCAACUUCAUAGAACAAGGGAAGGACUUUGAGUUUACCAAGGUUGUACAAUUCCAUUAUUAAUUGCAGUUCCAUCAAGCACCACCUUGACGUUGUGUAUCUUUCAGAGAGAACCACAACAGCGAACUUUGAACCUUCUAUGGCUCUGCGGAGGUGGCUAGAAAUAUGAUCACCUACCUCAAGAUCUUGAUCGUCUUUGAAAGUAAUGAUUCCCUUUGCACCAAGUGCUGCGUACAAAUGGCUGACAAUGGUUCUACGUGUAUCUUCCCCACGGAAGCUUAGGAAGACAUCAUAGUUACAGGGAGGAGGUGAAGACAAAGAC
rnacentral:lncRNA from 1 species